UACAGAGGUCCCGAGCGUUGUUCGGAUUUAUUGGGCGUAAAGGGUGCGUAGGCGGCGGAGUAAGUUGGGUGUGAAAUCCCGGGGCUCAACCUCGGAAUUGCAUUCAAUACUGCUUCGCUCGAGUACUGGAGAGGAGGCUGGAAUUUAUGGUGUAGCAGUGAAAUGCGUAGAUAUCGUAAGGAAGGCCGGUGGCGAAAGCGAGCCUCUGGACAGUUACUGACGCUGAUGCACGAAGGCCAGGGGAGCAAACGGG
rnacentral:rRNA from 1 species